GUUCUGACGGAGCACGCCGCGUGAGUGAUGAAGGUUUUCGGAUCGUAAAGCUCUGUUGUUAGGGAAGAACAAGUGCGAGAGUAACUGCUCGCACCUUGACGGUUCCUAACCAGAAAGCCACGGCUAACUACGUGCCAGCGGCCGCGGUAAUACGUAGGUGGCAAGCGUUGUCCGGAAUUAUUGGGCGUAAAGGGCUCGCAGGCGGUUUCUUAAGUCUGAUGUGAAAGCCCCCGGCUCAACCGGGGAGGGUCAUUGGAAACUGGGAAACUUGAGUGCAGAAGAGGAGAGUGGAAUUCCACGUGUAGCGGUGAAAUGCGUAGAGAUGUGGAGGAACACCAGUGGCGAAGGCGACUCUCUGGUCUGUAACUGACGCUGAGGAGCGAAAGCGUGGGGAGCGAACAGGAUUAGAUACCCUGGUAGUCCACGCCGUAAACGAUGAGUGCUAAGUGUUAGGGGGUUUCCGCCCCUUAGUGCUGCAGCUAACGCAUUAAGCACUCCGCCUGGGGAGUACGGUCGCAAGACUGAAACUCAAAGGAAUUGACGGGGGCCCGCACAAGCGGUGGAGCAUGUGGUUUAAUUCGAAGCAACGCGAAGAACCUUACCAGGUCUUGACAUCCUCUGACAACCCUAGAGAUAGGGCUUUCCCUUCGGGGACAGAGUGACAGGUGGUGCAUGGUUGUCGUCAGCUCGUGUCGUGAGAUGUUGGGUUAAGUCCCGCAACGAGCGCAACCCUUGAUCUUAGCUGCCAGCAUUCAGCUGGGCACUCUAAGGUGACUGCCGGUGACAAACCGGAGGAAGGUGGGGAUGAC
rnacentral:rRNA from 1 species